AUGCAAGUCGAACGGUGAACACGGAGCUUGCUCUGUGGGAUCAGUGGCGAACGGGUGAGUAACACGUGAGCAACCUGCCCCUGACUCUGGGAUAAGCGCUGGAAACGGCGUCUAAUACUGGAUACGAGUAGCGACCGCAUGGUCAGUUACUGGAAAGAUUUAUUGGUUGGGGAUGGGCUCGCGGCCUAUCAGCUUGUUGGUGAGGUAAUGGCUCACCAAGGCGUCGACGGGUAGCCGGCCUGAGAGGGUGACCGGCCACACUGGGACUGAGACACGGCCCAGACUCCUACGGGAGGCAGCAGUGGGGAAUAUUGCACAAUGGGCGCAAGCCUGAUGCAGCAACGCCGCGUGAGGGAUGACGGCCUUCGGGUUGUAAACCUCUUUUAGCAGGGAAGAAGCGAAAGUGACGGUACCUGCAGAAAAAGCGCCGGCUAACUACGUGCCAGCAGCCGCGGUAAUACGUAGGGCGCAAGCGUUAUCCGGAAUUAUUGGGCGUAAAGAGCUCGUAGGCGGUUUGUCGCGUCUGCUGUGAAAUCCGGAGGCUCAACCUCCGGCCUGCAGUGGGUACGGGCAGACUANAGUGCGGUAGGGGAGAUUGGAAUUCCUGGUGUAGCGGUGGAAUGCGCAGAUAUCAGGAGGAACACCGAUGGCGAAGGCAGAUCUCUGGGCCGUAACUGACGCUGAGGAGCGAAAGGGUGGGGAGCAAACAGGCUUA
rnacentral:rRNA from 1 species